rnacentral:rRNA from 1 species
CAGCGCCACGAGUGGGAAUCGUGUUUAUUGGGCCUAAAGCGUCCGUAGCCGGUUUAGUAAAUCUUUUGUGAAAUCAUCGGGCUUAACCUGAUGGCGUGCAGAAGACACUGCUGAACUAGGAACCGGGAGGAGUCAGAGGUAUGGGAUGGGGAGCGGUAAAAUGCGAUAAUCCAUCCUAGACCACCUGUGGCGAAGGCGUCUGACUAGAACGGAUUCGACGGUGAGGGACGAAAGCCAGGGGAGCGAUCCGGAUUAGAUACCCGCGUAGUCC